GAAAAAAGAGCUAAAACCCCAAAGUUGCUUUUCAGCUUUAGAUUUCAAACUUAUGGCAUCUUAAUCUUAAGUCACAGUCCUGUAGAAAAUUACAUCUAGACAGACAGAAAUAGCCUAUUGAACUUACAACAUGGUUCAUUAUUGCACAUUAACAAAAAUUAAAAUUUUGGAAUUCUGGUCUAACAAAUUGGUUCUCUCAAUAAGCUAUAACUUUUGGCUCGGCCAAUAGACUACAAUUCUAUCCUUGACAGGUG
rnacentral:misc_RNA from 1 species